ACGAACGCUGGCGGCAUGCCUAACACAUGCAAGUCGAACGCCCCGCAAGGGGAGUGGCGCACGGGUGAGUAACGCGUGGGGAUCUGCCCAUCGGUGGGGAAUAACCUCGGGAAACUGAGGCUAAUACCGCAUACGCCCUGUAAAGGGGAAAGAUUUAUCGCUGAAGGAUCGGCCCGCGUCUGAUUAGCUAGUUGGUGGGGUAAUGGCCCACCAAGGCGACGAUCAGUAGCUGGUCUGAGAGGAUGAUCAGCCUCACUGGGACUGAGACACGGCCCAGACUCCUACGGGAGGCAGCAGUAGGGAAUAUUGGACAAUGGGGGCAACCCUGAUCCAGCCAUGCCGCGUGAGUGAUGAAGGCCUUAGGGUUGUAAAGCUCUUUUAACGGGGAAGAUAAUGACGGUACCCGUAGAAUAAGCCCCGGCUAACUUCGU
rnacentral:rRNA from 1 species